rnacentral:rRNA from 1 species
CGUCAAAUCAUCAUGCCCCUUAUGUCCUGGGCUACACACGUGCUACAAUGGAUGGUACAACGGGCUGCAAACUCGCGAGAGUGAGCCAAUCCCUAAAAACCAUUCUCAGUUCGGAUUGCAGGCUGCAACUCGCCUGCAUGAAGUCGGAAUCGCUAGUAAUCGCGGAUCAGCAUGCCGCGGUGAAUACGUUCCCGGGUCUU